UACAGAGGUCUCAAGCGUUGUUCGGAUUCAUUGGGCGUAAAGGGUGCGUAGGCGGCGCGGUAAGUCGGGUGUGAAAUCUUGGAGCUUAACUCCGAAACUGCAUUCGAUACUGCCGUGCUUGAGGACUGGAGAGGAGACUGGAAUUACCGGUGUAGCGGUGAAAUGCGUAGAUAUCGGUAGGAACACCAGUGGCGAAGGCGGUCUCCUGGGGCAUUCUUGACGCUGAGGCGCGAAAGCUGGGGGAGCAAACGGG
rnacentral:rRNA from 1 species